GACGUAGGGCGCGAGCGUUGUCCGGAUUUAUUGGGCGUAAAGAGCUCGUAGGCGGCCUGUUGCGUCCGCUGUGAAAUCCCGGGGCUCAACCCUGGGCGUGCAGUGGAUACGGGCAGGCUGGAGGCAGGCAGGGGAGAACGGAAUUCCUGGUGUAGCGGUGAAAUGCGCAGAUAUCAGGAGGAACACCAAUGGCGAAGGCAGCUCGCUGGAACGGUACUGACGCUGAGGCGCGAAAGCGUGGGGAGCAACAGG
rnacentral:rRNA from 1 species